rnacentral:rRNA from 1 species
UCGAGAAUCAUUCGCAAUGGGCGAAAGCCUGACGGUGCGACGCCGCGUGGAGGAUGAAGGCCUUAGGGUCGUAAACUCCUGUCAUCAGGGAGGAAUGGCUCAUAUAGUAACUGAUAUGGGUCUUGAUAGUACCUGAAGAGGAAGGGACGGCAAACUUCGUGCCAGCAGCCGCGGUAAUACGAAGGGCCCAAACGUUGUUCGGAUUUACUGGGCGUAAAGGGGCGGUAGGCGGUGGGGGUAGUCAGAGGG